rnacentral:rRNA from 1 species
UACGUAGGGUGCAAGCGUUGUCCGGAAUUAUUGGGCGUAAAGAGCUCGUAGGCGGUCUGUCGCGUCCGUUGUGAAAACUCGAGGCUCAACCUCGGGCUUGCAGUGGAUACGGGCAGACUAGAGUGCGGUAGGGGAGACUGGAAUUCCUGGUGUAGCGGUGGAAUGCGCAGAUAUCAGGAGGAACAUCGGUGGCGAAGGCGGGUCUCUGGGCCAUUACUGACGCUGAGGAGCGAAAGCGUGGGGAGCGAACAGG